rnacentral:tRNA from 1 species
UGCGGGGUGGUGUAACGGUAGCACGCCUGGCUCUGGACCAGGAGGUUCUAGGUUCGAAUCCUAGCCCCGCAGCCA